rnacentral:lncRNA from 1 species
CUGUCGUGGUCACAUAGAAUGAAUAUCUGCUUCAAAACCCUCACACUGCGGAUGGUAGAAUACCUUCUGCACCUGUGAUUCCUAAACAAUCUGUUAUAGUAAACCUACUCUACUCGAGCAUAGUAUCUAUAACUCUAACGAACAAUCAAAAUUACAAAAAAUAUGCACUGUUGGAAUAUUACGUGAGGCUGAGAAACGGUUAGAAUAUCCAGUAUAAUUGUGAACAAUCAACAAAUUGACAUAAUAAAGUGUUACGAAUGUAAAUUGAUACAAUGGGGGUCUUUUUGAUCUCAGUCUGGCGAAGUGCAAAGCACUGAAAUCUCAAUGCAGGUCACAAUCCCAUGGAACGAUUGCAUGAUGGGUGCCAUCGUCUUCUCAAGGAUGUUCUGUUGGUCGUCCCUCAGGUCUGGCUUGCACACCAAUCACAGGCGCCUUCAACUGUAAUAAAAGAAUCAUUGGACAGCAGAGAUGAAGACCGGCAACCCUGGGAAUCACCAACCAUGCAUGCCCGGACCAAACCUACGACAACCACAAACAACCAUGACGACGGGGUCAAUACCGGCUCAAACACCAAAUCAAUCUGCGAAAGAAACAGGGGCGGAGCUAGAUCCAACCAUUCUCCAUUAAAUAAUACAUAAACACCAUGGUUAUAUUGCUAAUUGCUGGAUCAAAUUGCAUGUCCUGAUUCAAAGGCUUUGCCCAGGCUCAUCGAAGGGCAUCCUCACCUCUUCCAGAGACCACGCUGGCCCUUGGCAGGGAUUGAGCGCUACAGCCGGUUCAUCAGCAGUUGAGCACGCACACGCACUGGAUCUACCCCACCUCCCUCCACACCCGUCAGCUAUCGCCGGGUCCGCCACGCCGACGAGCGGCACCUUUUUCGGCCCAUUUUCUCUGGUGCGACGGGAGGUCUGUCCUUGGAUCUUUU